rnacentral:lncRNA from 1 species
GAAAAAGGCUGUAGGCUUUAUUGAGCAGAUUGAAAGGACAAAGCUUCCACAGUGUGGAAGGGGUCCCGAGCGGGUAGCCAGAGUUAGAUUAUGUGACUGCCUUUUAAACUCUUUAAGGCCGGAAAUACGUGUGGCGAGAUGUUACCAGAGCGAGAAACAAAGGCAAUUAACCGUUUGUAACAUGUCUUAGAUCUUGAGGAAAACUGGAAUUGCAACUUAGGUUUUAUCUACUUUAUGAACUUGCAGCAGCAUGGCAAAGGAGACGGGAUCUUACAGGACUUUGUUACAAAGUAUGUUUUCAAGGAAUUGGAAUUGGGAGGAUAGAUAAGGUCCGCUGGUCACAGAAAAACAGGCAGUUAACGUUCCUUUUACUUUAGUUUCGGGGGAGGCGGAAGAGAAAGAGAGAGAGAGGACACAGGGAAACUUACAGCAAAAGUUUCGAUGUUUAUAGCUUUCUUGGGGAAGAAAACACAUGCACAGAUCCUGGUGUUAGGAAUAUUUUAAGCAUGUAUCUUCAAUAUUAUUCAUCCAGGACCGAAGUAAGUCCUGAUGCAGGAAAUGAGUGACUUUCACAGCUUUCUGAGCCCCUACUCAACCCAGGAAGUCCAGCUGGCACCUCCUCUGGAUCACAAGCACUUUGGGAGGCCAAAGCAAGAGGAUUGCUCGAGCCCAGGAGUUUGAGACCAGACUGGACAACAUAGUAAACCUCAUCCCUACAAAAAAAAAAAAAAAGUAAAAAACGAAGCUGAAGGAUCUUUUGAGCCCGGGAGGUCGAGAUUGCAAUGAGCCGUGAUCAUGCCAUUACACUUACACCUGGGUGGCAGAGUGAGACCCUGCCUCAAAAAAAUAAAUAAAUAAAAAAUAAAUCUUAAAUUGACUAUAAAUGCUUUUGCUUAGAAGACCUAGAUUGUCUAGAAACAUAAGAGAUCUACAAAGAACUAUAUCCAAAUAUUUAGUUAUUUCUGAUAGGGUUCCAUUUCUCAUUUUCAGAGAAAGCUGCCAGGAUAUGAUCAGUGUUCCUAACAGUUCUUGCUGAUUAGAAGAACUUCAUCAGGAGUUAGUAUUCAACACUCUACUGUACUGUAAUAUAAUCUUUUUCUGCCUCUACUGCCCCAUGCAUGCAUUAUAGAUGGGAUUCACAAAAACACACAGAGAACAAAUAUUUGAUUCCCCGAAGACAGUAAUUUCAAAUUCAACUUAGAACAAAUAUAUUUUUCUCCAAAAGUCUAAUCUAUGAUUUUAUGUGGUUCACUUUAUCAAUUGAUCAUUCUAAUUUUCUUGCCAACCUCUGGCAUUCUGAGAAGUUCACCUUCCAUUCACAUAUAAGAAGAUGUCCUCAUGUGUUUAUAGUGUGGCUGUGAGUCAUUGGGUGGCACCAACUCUUUGUGCCAUUUCAUUUAUCUAUUUUAAAGCAAACUUUCAUCUGAUUAGAUCUACUUAAUUUUGUUAUAAAUAGUCCUUUCAUCCUAUUGCUGUUUAUAGAGUAUCCUUCAGUGUAUAAAAAUAAAGGCAAAUAUAGCUAUAAUGUAUUUUAGAAAUACUCUACUAUUACCUUUUCGCUUAACAUAUUUUUAUACAAUUAUUAUCUGGAACAAAGUUUCUCAAGCUUUGGUCGACAUUAGUAUCAUCUAUGAAUUUUUUUUCUUGUAUUUGCAAUAAAUAGAGAUGUUCAUAUUUACAGAAUCAAAAUAAAAAACAGUGGAAUAUAUACAUGUAUACAUAUAUUUUAAAUCCUUAAAAGUAUUGCUGAUAGGCAUGAUAGUUUGAGAGCAAAUAGCUUGCAUGUAGAAAAUUUUUAAAUAAUAAAUGAAAACUUGUAAUUCUAUAAUGACUAUUUUUAAUCAUGAUUUUUUUUAGUGUUCAACCUGUCACCCUGCUCUUGUCUCAAUACAAUACACUCAUUAUUACUACUUCUAAAACUCUUCUUCACUUUCUAUUUAGCACAUAGAAAAUUGAUUUUUCUCUCUAUCAAUUUAUAAAAAAUAGAAGUCAUAAAGAACAUUUUAAUGAUAUCUUCAGUGUCACAAUUUAAUUUCUAUGCUUGAUCUCCAAAUUUUACAAUUAAUUUUUUCUGUGAAUUUUUUUUAAAAGAUUAAAAAUAUAAAAAAUUAAAAUCUAUUGUAAUUACAACCAAUCAUACAUGAUUAUAAAUAUUUAUAUUCAACUCCUUUGUAUAUGCAUCUAUUUACAAUUCAUUUUACAAAAGUAACAAUAAUAGCUAACAUGUUAAAUGCUACUUUGUAAGGAUAUUUAAUACCAACAGCACCACUGUGAGGUAGGUUUAUAUUAAUUUAACCUAAAAGGCGAGGAAUCUGAAUCAAAGAGUUGAAGAAACUUACCUAAAGACCCAUGAUUACUAAGAGUAAGACUAGGCAAUGAGUUUGGCAUCUGAUUCUGAAUAUUAUGCAGUCAAUUACUAUAUUGCCUCCAUAUGCAAAACAUUUAUAACUUGCUUUUUUGUUGUUGGCUUUUAAAAAUAUGUUAUCAACAUAUUUGCAUGUUAUUAAAUAAGCUACCACCACAAUAUUUUUAGUAUUUGUAUAGAAGUACCAUUUAUCUUAUUAAUCACUUACUAUAGCACUAAAUCUACAAGUAUAUGCUUAUGUAUUUAUUAUAAAUUCUCAUAAUUGGGUGAUUUUGUCAAAAAUAAAUAUAUUUUAAAGCUUUUGAUGUGUUGUGCCCCAAAGAAAAAUUGUACAAUGUAGCACAUCACCACAUCCUCUCAUUGUUGCAUUUCCUCAUUCUUCGUAUACCCCUACUUUAAUUUUAAACAAUAUCAUUUUUCUGGAUUUCUUUCUUAGUGUUCUUUCAUCUUUUUUUGCCUCCUUUUACUUUAAUUUUUUAAGUAGACAAAUAAAAAUUGUAUAUAUGUCUGUGGUAUACAACAUAAUGUUUUGAAAUAUGAAUACAUUAUGGAAUGGCUAAAUAAAGCUAACUAAUAUAUGCAGUAUCUCAUAAACUAUUGUUUACUUGUGGUGAGAACACUUAAAAUCUAUUCUCUCAGCAAUGUUCAAGAAUACAGUACAUUCUUCCUAACUGUAGUCACCAUGUAGUACAACAGAUCUCUUAAACGUCUACUCUUCAAUUAGUAAUUCUUAGCUUUGAAAAUCUAUAUCUAUAUCAUUGGGGAGUAUAUAAAGAACACUGAGCAAAAUUCUCUUUCUGUUUAACACACAGACAUCCUAUUCCAUAGAAAUGAGACUAUUUAAAAGUCCAUAAAAUGAAGCCAUAUAAAAGUCUCCAGAUUUUGUCUUUCUUUUUCCUCUAUACAGUUGUCCUGAAUGAGAUUAUGUAUUCCCGAAGCUUCAGAUACUAAGAGACACUAAAAAUAAAUAUUUCACUUAAUUCUCUGCAUACAUCCUGAACUCCAGAGUCAUGUUUUCAACUACUUUACAUAUAUUUCUACUUGUAUGAGCUGAAGAUAUCCACAUGUAUCAGGGGAACCAGCCCCAAAUAUUUCAACGUAGGUUCUUUUCUAUUUUCCCUAAGUGUCAGCCAGUCUGAGAAAUAAAGAGAAAGAGUAAUAAGAGAGAAAUUUUACAGCUGGGCCUCCGGGGGUGACAUCACAUAUCGGUAGGUCCUUGAUGCCCACCUGAGCCUCAAAACCACCAAGUUUUUAUUAGGGAUUUCAAAAGGGUAGGGGUGUACGAAUAGGGAGUAGGUCACAGGGAUCACAUGCUUCAGAGGGCAAUAAAAGAUCACAGGGCAGAGGGUGAACUUAGAAUUACUGAUGAGGUUUCAUGUCCCCCUGGGCACACAUUGUCUUGAUAAACAUCUUAACAGGAAACAGGGUUCAAGAGCAGACAACCAGUCUGACUAGAAUUCAACAGGCUGGAAUUUCUCAAUCCUGGUAAGCCUGAGGGCACUGCGGGAGACCAGGGUGUAUUUCAUCCCUUAUCUCCAACCGCAUAAGACAGAUACUCCCAGAGCGGCCAUUCAUAGACCCACCCCUGGGAAUGCAUUCCUUCCCCAGGGUUAUUCCUUGCUGGGAAAAGAAUUCAGUGAUAUUUCUCCUACUCACUUUCUGCAAGAAGAAAAAUAUGGCUCUAUUCUGCCUGACCGGCAGGCAGUCAGACCUUAUGGUUAUCUCCCUUGUUCCCUGAAAAUUGCUGUUAUCCUGUUCUUUUUCAGGGUGCUCAGAUUUCAUAUUGUUCAAACACACAUUUUACAAUUUGUACAGUUAAUGCAAUCAUCACAGGGUCCUGAGGCGACAUACAUCCUCAGCUUACAAAGAUGAUGGGACUAAGAGAUUAAAGUAAAGACAGGCAUAGGAAAUUAUAAGAGUAUUGAUUGGGAAAGUGAUAAAUGUCCAUGAAAUCGUCACAAUUUAUGUUCUUCCAUGGCUUCAGCUGGUCCCUCCAUUCGGGGUCCCUGACUUCCCGCAACACACAUGCCCCCCUAUUUCCUUGCUUUUAUUUAGAAACAAAAUGUCUGACAUAAAGGAGCAAAAGUCAAUAUUUGCAUAAGAGAUGUUCAUAUUUACAGAAGUGAAACUGUUAAAAUAUACCUUGCCAAACAUAUCUUGAUUUCAAAGUAGUGCAGCUUGUAACUGAAGUCUAGUUACUUUAUAUAAAAUUUUACCUAGGAUUUCGUAGUGUGUAUAACUGUUAAUGAUAAUAUUACUCAGGCAGAAACACAGUAGUGCUGGCCACUCUAGUCCCUUAGCACUUUUCUGCUCUCCUUCCUUGGAGUAUUCUUGCUUUUUGAACAUUAGAGCUCUCUGAGGUCAAUGCCUUACUCCCCUGACUUUGUUCACUAUCUACACAGUAUUAUCAAGCUUUUUGGACUAAUGCAGAAGUAGAAUGGUAUGCUUGAAAAACCUUAUGUGAAUGUCUUUAAAAAACAACUCAGGGGAGUAUUUAGCUUCUCAGGUAGUUGUAUUUUGAUAGUACCACAAAUGGCACAGGAUCAACCACUUGUACUUGCUGCCAGGGACAAUGCUCUUCCAGAGAAAUAAAGUAAAUAAAUAUGUUAGAAAUUCUAAUAGAAUUAAAUAUGUACAUAAAUUGUAUCUUUAUCAUGCAUUAGAGAAAAGUACACACCUUCAUUAACUGAUAACAUUUUAAAGAUAUUUCAUUAUUUAGAAGAAAAUUGUUUUUGAGAAGCCUGAAUUUCACAAAAUAAAAUAAUUAUAGAUACAAAGAGAAAAAUUACUUUUAAUUUAAAAAUAUUUCCACAAAAUGCCUUUUUAGUUACAGUGAAGAAACCCCAAUAUUAUGAAGACAUAGAAACUUUCUGUUAAUGCAAAAUUGAGGGCACUGAACAAACCACAGUACUUACUUUUAUUUGCUGACUUUGUGGAACAAAAUAAGAAGGGAACAUAUAAAUUUUUAAAGGAAGCUCUGCAUGGUGGCUCACAUCUGUAGUCCCAGUGUUUUGGGAGGCCCAGACAGGAGAAUCACUUGAGGCCAGGAGUUAGAGAUGAGCCUGGGCAACAGAGCGAGAGUGUCUGUUGGCCCAGCUACUUGGGAGGCUGAGGCAGGAGGAUCCCUUGAGCCAGGAAUUUAAGGCCAUAUGAGCUUUGAUCAUGCCACCACACUCCAGUCUCGGCAACAGAGCUAAGUCCUAUAUCUAAAAUAAAAAGUAUAUCUUUUUAUUUAAUU